GUUCUCAUGCACGUGACCGGCAAGUGGAGCAACAAAAAUACCACAAAGACAAAAGAUCUGGGAUACUGUUCUGCUGCUGAUCACGAGGACACCAGAGAGUCGCUGACGCGGCACUGCUGUCCUUCCCUGAUGUGAUCUGCCUGGGGCUCAUGCUCUGGGGCAGCAGCUCCAUCGUUUGCAUCCUGCACAGGCACAAGCGGCGGGUCCAGCACAUUCAUAGGACCAGCGUCUCCCCCACAUCCUCCCCUGAGUCCGGAGCUACCAAAACCAUCCUCCUGGUUCUAGCAUGUAUUAACACCGUGUGUCUAAAGUCAUCCCUGCUGGUCAUCUGGAGGAAUCUGAGAAGGGGCAGGUCUUUCUUCUGACUCUCAGAGCAGCACCCUCUGCUGGACAGGGCUGGGCACCUCAUCUCAAGCCCAAUCUGAUCCACCAACAGGGUCUGUUAUCUCCGGUCCGGGGAAGAGUCAAGCUGCACUAAUCUAGACCAGGGAUCCCCACCCCUGGGCUGCGGACCGGUCCCCAUGGGUGGCCUGUUAGGAACUGGACCGCAC
rnacentral:lncRNA from 10 species